rnacentral:rRNA from 1 species
CUCUUGGUGAAUCAUAAUACUUACGAAUCGCAUGGCCUUGUGCGGCGAUGGUUCAUUCAAAUUUCUGCCCUAUCAACUUUCGAUGGUAGAGUAGUGGUCUACCAUGGUGGUCAACGGGUAACGGGGAAUUAGGGUUCUAUUCCGGAGAGGGAGCCUGAGAAAACGGUACCACAUCCAAGGAAGGCAGCAGGCGCGCCAAAUUACCCAAUCCUGAUUCAGGGAGGUAGUGACAAUAAAUAACAAUCCAGGGCCUUUGGUUUUGGAAUUGGAAUGAGAACAAUUUAAAUCCCUUAACGAGGAACAAUUGGAGGGGCAAAAGGUCUGGUGCCAGCAGCCGCGGUAAUUCCAGCUCCAAUAGCGUAUAUUAAAGUUGUUUGGCAGUUAAAUAGCUCGUAGUUGAAUUUUGGGCCGGG